UGGAACAUAGCUUAGAUGGCAGAGCGGCUGAUAUUUAAUCAGUAUGUCGAGGGUUCGAGUCCUUCUGUUCCAA
rnacentral:tRNA from 2 species